rnacentral:rRNA from 1 species
AACGAACGCUGGCGGCAGGCUUAACACAUGCAAGUCGAGCGCCCCGCAAGGGGAGCGGCAGACGGGUGAGUAACGCGUGGGAAUCUACCCAUCUCUACGGAAUAACGCAUGGAAACGUGUGCUAAUACCGUAUACGUCCUUCGGGAGAAAGAUUUAUCGGAGAUGGAUGAGCCCGCGUUGGAUUAGCUAGUUGGUGGGGUAAAGGCUUACCAAGGCGACGAUCCAUAGCUGGUCUGAGAGGAUGAUCAGCCACACUGGACUGAGACACGGCCCAGACUCCUACGGGAGGCAGCAGUGGGGAAUAUUGGACAAUGGGCGCAAGCCUGAUCCAGCCAUGCCGCGUGAGUGAUGAAGGCCCUAGGGUUGUAGAGCUCUUUCACCGGUGAAGAUAAUGACGGUAACCGGAGAAGAAGCCCCGGCUAACUUCGUGCCAGCAGCCGCGGUAACAC